GAGGGUGGCAGGGGCAGGCGACCACCGACUGCGUCCGCCCCCCGCCCCUGGACAAGAGCAGCCCCUCUGCGCCGCCUCGCUGCUCCGGGUGACCUUCCCUGGGUGCAGAGUCCGCCCCAGCGCCCGCCGCCCUCCGAUGCUCUGAAGGCCCCGGGGCUGCGCUCGGAAGGCCGGGGAUGUCCGGCUGCAUCGGCGCGGGGCUCGCCUUUGUUUGCGCGUAACUGGCAGAGGCCGCCGAGGAUUCAUCUCUGCCGCAAGCCAGCGCCUCUCCUCGGCUCUCAUGGGGACCACGGAAGCCACGCUCCGGAUGGAAAACGUGGAUGUGAAGGAAGAAUGGCAGGACGAAGCUCUUCCCAGGCCGCUCCCGGAAGAGACAGGGAUGGACCCGCUUGGCAGCCCCACGGAAGACACGUCCUCCCCUCCCAACGCCUUGAACUUCAACGGAGCUCAUCGCAAGCGGAAGACGCUGGUCGCCCCGGAGAUCAACAUUUCCCUGGAUCAGAGCGAGGGCUCCCUGCUGUCUGACGACUUCCUGGACACCCCCGAUGACCUGGACAUCAACGUGGAUGACAUCGAGACCCCCGACGAGACCGACUCGCUGGAGUUCCUGGGGAACGGCAACGAGCUGGAGUGGGAAGAUGACACCCCCGUGGCCGCCGCCAAGAACAUGCCCGGGGACAGCGCGGACCUGUUUGGGGACGGCGCCGCGGAGGAUGGUGGUGCCGCCAAUGGGCGCCUGUGGAGGACGGUGAUCAUCGGAGAACAAGAACACCGAAUCGACCUGCACAUGAUCCGGCCCUACAUGAGGGUAGUGACCCACGGAGGGUACUACGGCGAAGGUCUCAACGCCAUCAUCGUGUUUGCUGCCUGCUUCCUCCCGGACAGCAGCUCCCCCGACUACCACUACAUCAUGGAGAACCUCUUCCUGUACGUCAUCAGCAGUCUGGAACUGCUCGUGGCGGAGGAUUACAUGAUCGUGUACCUGAACGGGGCCACCCCCCGGCGGAGGAUGCCCGGCAUCGGCUGGCUGAAGAAGUGCUACCAGAUGAUCGACAGGAGAUUGCGGAAAAACCUGAAGUCCCUCAUCAUCGUGCACCCGUCCUGGUUCAUCCGCACCGUGCUGGCUAUCUCCCGGCCCUUUAUCAGCGCCCCCUCCGGGCCCGGACUUCAGGCGUCUGCCCCCCUCUCCUCCCGCCAGCGUCAAAUUCAUCAACAAGAUCCAGUAUGUGCACAGCUUGGAGGAUCUGGAGCAGCUCAUCCCCAUGGAACACGUGCAGAUCCCAGACUGCGUGCUGCAGUACGAGGAGGAAAGGCUCAAGGCCCGGAGAGAGAGCACCAGACCGCAGCCAGAGUUCGUCCUGCCCCGGUCUGAUGAGAAGCCAGAGGCCGCGUCGGCGGAGGACAGGUCGGCUCUGGCCACAGAAGAUCAGGAAACAAGCAUGUCCUGAGGUGACAAGAAUGCAGAGAAGAACAAGAAAGAAGAUUCCAGAUGCCAAGAAACCUCUGUCAGACGCCCUCUGGCCCUGGACCUCAACCCUGCCUCGCCCUGAGUCCCCGUCUUCGGGGUGGGGGUGUGUGUGCCAGUCCCCUCCAUCCAUCUCUGAAACCCAGCAUCCUUUUUAGCUGCUUGGAAGCCUUUUUGUUUUGUUUUUUAUUAUUUAAACAGCGCAGUAUUCAUGUGUUCCAGAAGGGGCCCUGGUUCUCAGCCCUCCACCCCUCCACACUCAUGAGCUCAUGGCCAGGACGAGCGAGCGGCUCAGGGCAUGGCCCGUGUGUCCUGGACGGCUUCAGAGACCCCUCCCACUGUGCCAAGUCCUGGUUCGAGACCCUUCUGUUGUUUGUCACCUGGCCCACGUUGGAGCCACCGAUGCCCACCAGCUCCCUGGCCGGAUCUGGAUUCGUUCUUGUGCCUUUUCUCCUAGAACAUCCCCUGCAGCUCUGGGCAUGUGGCCUGGAAGCUCAGCCGCCCAGCAGGGCCGUGCCCCAGGGACCUCCCAGCCUUCCAUUUGACCAGCUCCCUUCAUCUCUUGUGACACCCGCCGUCUCUAGGGGCAUCGGAACCCACAGCACACAAGUGCGCUGCCGAUAACCAUCCCUGCCCUGCAGUUACAAAGCCGCCCCUCCCAAUCUAGAACAUUCUCGAGCCCCUUUAACGUGGAUGCCACCGCAGGGCAAUCCUGAUCAAUCAAUACCUCCUACUGAGGGAAUGAAGUCUCCUCACUUUCCUGAUCCCCCUCCGCAAUCAAUGCAGGGUUGGGAUGCACCCCUCAAGUUCCCCCCUAGGGGACCCGGCUCCGAACUGCGUGAAGGAAGAUACAGGGUACUGCAGAUUUGAGUAUUUCGAAGUUCACUUGGGAGAGCACAUCCUCGUGGCCCGGACGCUGUGGGGACCUGCCGUCAAAGGGGGCAAACUGACCUUGGACAAAAGACAGACUUUCCUAAUGCAGCCCAAACCCAGGGCUGGCCAGGUUGGCCUCUAGAGGUAGUGAGUUCCCCACCGGUGGAGGCAUUUAAGAAAAGGCUGGCAAGUGCUUACAAAAUGUGGCCCUCUGUGGUCCCCUCCAGUCCUAAGAGUCUCUAUUUAUAUAAACCUGAGCAGAACUGGGAUGGACGCCUUCCCCCGGCCCCUCCUAUGGCUCCGCAGCGGGCUUCUUAGCCGUGGAGAUCGUGAGUGUGGGGUUCCUGGCCCCGGGGGAAAUGUCAGAUGCCUCUCAGCCUGGGACCUCAGGUGUUUGGGAGGGGCCAGCGGUGUUUGGUGCCGCGCACGUUGCUGCGUGGGAGGGGGUCCUGCAUGUCACGGGCCGCUCCCACCCCCAACACCGGAGGCUCCUGCCUUGGGGAACGCGGGGUUUCUGAGCGCUCCUGCGCCUGGAUCCCCGGGACACCUGGGGGCGGGGGGGCUCUUAAGUGUGUGUUUCUGCCGCGUUUCCCGAAUGUCGAGUGAAGGACAGGCCCGUGGCCCGGGCCUGGUGACCGUGUGUCACCUGGAGCCCGAGGCAGCGGAGGCUGGCAGGCGCCGGGUGUGAGCCGAGGGCUGGGACCGUGCGGGCUGCCCGGUGCCAGGGAGGCGACAGAGGGAGAGUAAGCGGCAGACCGCAGCCCCAGAGGAGCCCGCAGCUGCACGGGGACCCCCGGCUGGCCCGCCGCCCUCGGACCACCAGCAGCCACAGACCCCGGCAAGCGGGACCCAGGACCCUGGCUCGGCCGCGGCAGCCCCUCCAGAAUAAAGAGGGACCCCGCGGUGGGGGGCGCUGUCCCCAGGCGCACAGCUCCGUCCCCACGGCGCCACCGCGUCCAGGCCAGCCGCUGCCCGCACUCAGAGCGCCUUUGUGCAAGGCGUGCGUCCCGGGGCGGUCGCAGCCAAAAUGCAACGGACCCCAGGCCUCGUGGGAAAGGGACCCCAGGUUUUCCUCCCAUGACACGUGGGAUGUGUCCCAGGUCGUAGCUCACACGUCCAUCCUCACCACGGCGAGUUUUGUGGUUUUUAAAAAAAGAAACCCUUCAUUAUGAUUACUGUCGUGAUGUUCAGACAUCAUCUCCAUGAGCUUUGGGGGAUUUUUAUGUGGAAAUAAAUACGCGAUAACUGAGAAGGGAGGUCUGUUCCUUUUGUCCAC